GACGGGUGAGUAACGCGUAUGCAACCUACCUAUUGCAGGAAGAUAGCCCGAGGAAACUCGGAUUAAUAUUCCAUAAUAUCAUUUUUACACAUGUAUUAAUGAUUAAAGCUACGGCGGCAAUAGAUGGGCAUGCGUACCAUUAGCUAGUUGGUGAGGUAACGGCUCACCAAGGUUACGAUGGUUAGGGGGUCUUAAAGGAUGAUCCCCCACACUGGUACUGAGACACGGACCAGACUCCUACGGGAGGCAGCAGUGAGGAAUAUUGGGCAAUGGACGCAAGUCUGACCCAGCCAUGCCGCGUGCAGGAUGACUGCUCUAGUAGUUGUAAACUGCUUUUCUAUUUCAUGAACCCCUCUGACGUGUCAGGGGCUGACAGUAGAAUAGGAAUAAGCAUCGGCUAACUCCGUGCCAGCAGCCGCGGUAAUACGGAGGAUGCAAGCGUUAUCCGGAUUUACUAGGUUUAAAGGGUGCGCAGGCGGGCUUGUAAGUCAGUGGUGAAAUACUGCCGCUUAACGGUAGAAUUGCCAUUGAUACUGCGAGUCUUGAGUAUGGUUGAGGUAGGCGGAAUGCGCAGUGUAGCGGUGAAAUGCCUAGAGAUUGCACAGAACGCCGAUUGCGGAGGCAGCUUACUAAGCCAUAACUGACGCUGAGGCACGAAAGCGUGGGGAGCGAACCGGAUUAGAUACCCUGGUAGUCCACGCUGUAAACGAUGUUCACUCGCUGUUUGCGAUACACAGUAAGCGGCUGAGCGAAAGCAUUAAGUGAACCACCUGGGGAGUACGAUCGCAAGGUUGAAACUCAAAGGAAUUGACGGGGGCCCGCACAAGCGGAGGAACAUGUGGUUUAAUUCGAUGAUACGCGAGGAACCUUACCUGGGCUUAAAUGUAGGCUGCACGAAGUAGAAAUACUUCUUUCCUUCGGGACUGCUUACAAGGUGCUGCAUGGUUGUCGUCAGCUCGUGCCGUGAGGUGUCGGGUUAAGUCCCAUAACGAGCGCAACCCUUAUCGUUAGUUGCUAGCAGGUAAAGCUGAGGACUCUAGCGAGACUGCCACCGUAAGGUGAGAGGAAGGUGGGGAUGACGUCANAUCAGCACGGCCCUUAUGUCCAGGGCUACACACGUGUACCAAUGGCCGGUACAGAGGGAAGCUACCUGG
rnacentral:rRNA from 1 species